GUGGGGGGUUGUGGGACCAGACAGGUCGUUCUGCCGGACGACCACGAAGUCACAAAGCUCAGAGGAAGUCGAAAUCGGUUGGAAAACCGUGCCAUAGAGGGUGAUAGCCCCGUAAGCGUAAAUUGAAGAGGACGAGCAGUAUCCUGAGUAGGGCGGGACCGGAGGAAUCCUGCCUGAAUCUGCCAGCACCAUCUGGUAAGGCUAAAUACUCCUCAGACACCGAUAGUGAACCAGUACCGUAAGGGAAAGGUGAAAAGCACCC
rnacentral:rRNA from 14 species